rnacentral:sRNA from 1 species
GCUGGGCGUGGUGGUGCAUGCCUGUAGUCCCAGCUACUUGGGAGGCUGAGGCAGGAGAAUCACUUGAACCCGGGAGGCAGGGGUUGCAGUGAGCUGAGAUCAUGCCACUGCACUUCCAGCCUGGGCUACAGAGCGAGACUCUGUCUCAA